rnacentral:rRNA from 1 species
UACGAGGGGGGCGAGCGUUGUUCGGAAUUAUUGGGCGUAAAGGGUGCGUAGGCGGUUUGGUAAGUCUCUUGUGAAAACUCCGGGCUCAACUCGGAGCCUGCAGGAGAAACUGCCGGGCUUGAGUGUGGGAGAGGUGAGUGGAAUUCCUGGUGUAGCGGUGAAAUGCGUAGAUAUCAGGAGGAACACCUGUGGCGAAGGCGGCUCACUGGACCAUAACUGACGCUGAUGCACGAAAGCUAGGGGAG